rnacentral:lncRNA from 1 species
UGGGAGUCGGGACGAGACAAAUCAAAUUUUGUCACAUACACAUGGUUAGCAGAUGUUAAUGCGAGUGUAGCCAAAUGCUUGUGCUUCUAGUUCCGACCAUGCAGUAAUAUCUAACAAGUAAUCUAACAGACAGGCAGGCAGCGGUUCUCAGCCAGUAGAUAUCAUGAAUCAGCUGGCAUCAUUUUUAUGGAUAUAUACAAAGAAAUGUCAAUUGAAAAAUGGUCAAAUGAAUCAAAGUGCAGCUAGUUUGCAGUCUUUCCAGCUUCAGUUUGAAGAUAUUGUGUUAGCUGAAGUGUUGGUUAGCUCCUCUGAACAACAGUGUCCUGACGAGUGAGCACAUUUUCUAUGCCAGGCGAAAUCGUGCCUCAUUAGCUCAUUGUUAUGCAUGUAUCCAAAUAUAUGUCACUAGAAAACAACUUAUGCAAAUGCAGCUACUUUGCUGUUAUUCUGCCUGCACUUUUUGACGUGACUGUAAGUUAGCCGUAGUUGGCUAGCAAGCAAGGGAGAAGAAGUUGCCAGCCAGUAUGGCAAUGGAACAUUUAGAAUGAACGACUAACACACAUCUAUAGAUGCAGAACAAAAAGACUGAACGACUGGGUCAAGUCUCUGGCAACCGAACCGAUAGAACCAACAACGAGCUUGCUUGGGUAGCAACCUCAGAUUUGUGCCGCGACUAUAUCUUUUGGAAGGAUGAAAUGACCUGAUCCCACCAGAUGUGUGUGUAACCUGCUCAACACCUCCACUAUCUAUGCAAACAAUGAGUAUCCUGAAGGUAUCCGCCUAUAUUACUACAUCCCAAACUUCGCUGCACAGGGCCUUCACUAUGAUAUUCAAAAGGGCCUCCUGAUGAAGAUCGAUGCUUUCCAUUACAUUCAGCUGGGGACUGUGUAUCAGUGAGUUCUGGUUAUGGGACAAUGACCCAACACACCUCCAGGUUGUGUAAGGGCUAUUUGACCAAGAAGGAGAGUGAUGGAGUGCUGCAUCAGAUUACCUGGCCUCCACAAUCACCCAACCUCAACCCAAUUGAGAUGGUUUGGGAUUAGUUGGACCGCAGAGUGAAGGAAAAGCAGGCAACAAGGUCUCAGCAUAUGGUGGAACUCCUUCAAGACUGUUGGAAAAGCAUUUCAGGGGGCUGAACCCAGUUCCAGAUGAGGUCCUGAGGCUCUAUGGGGCUACCCACCAUGUCCCCCUACACCAGAUCAGCGAAUUCUACGGACAGACUACAUAAACAUAAAUGCAUAAGGUGCCCCUGUGGCUGCAUGAAGACCCCUUUCCUAGAGGAGAUGGCCCACAUCCGCUGAGCCAACAAUGGGUUGUCAUGCUGGUUUCUCCUCGCUGGGUUCUCAACAUGGACAUUCACAAAACAGCCCACCAGAG